CAGAGUCUUAUGUUUAACUAGGUUCUUAAAUAUUUACCUAAAAAUGGACUUUGAUGGACUUUAGAUUCUGUUGCAUUUUGUUAUAUAACAAGAGCAAGGGAGAAAGGAACAGUAAAGAAAAAAAAAAAAAGAUUACUCCAUGAAAUAAAUGCGAUGUGGGGACCUGCUUACAGAGUGCGUUUGUGAUUGCUCGUGGUGAAAGCAAAACAGAACAGCUUUAUCCGUCUUGUAUUCUGAAGAAUUGCUUCCCCUGUGAGAUUGGAGCAGAGGAAUCCAGCAACAUGCAGCAGACUCCUGCGAGAAGUGUCCUGUGCAUGCUUAGGCAAUUAUACUCUGAAUUACUUCUUCGGCUCUCAUUCUGGCCUGUUUUCUGGUCCAGUCCACAGCUGUAUAUCACUCUCUGUUGCCAUCAGAAGAAAUGUUCCAGCUUUGUGUUGGUGUAACAGAAAACUGGAUCUGGCUCACUGAGUUAGCGUGCUACAGGAAAUGAUGCUUGAAUGCUGCUGCAUGCAUUAGGAGAACAAGAAUUCUUUCUCCAACAGAACACACUUUGUUCAGUGCCAGUAAUAUCACAGGGAGAUGCUGUCAGGAUGAGAAGUUAACACAUGGGAGCCAGCUGUAGCAACUAAAUGUCUCAAGGAAACUUGUUCUUACAUAAUGAAAUCCAUUCACAAGGAGUAUCACAGAAAGUUGGAGUGACCUGAUAAAACUCUGAGGAGAUUACCAGAUUCAUUCUUGGAAAGGCAAGAAAGUGAAGCUCAAAGCCUGACAGACUUUGAAAAUGAUGAAAAUGUGACUGUUAAUUCAAAAGUUUUAUUUCCAGAUGUUCAGAGCACUGAUUUCUUAAAGACAGCAUGUUGCAUAAUAUGUUGGAAAACCACCUGUAAGUAUUUGUAAAACAAACUAAGACCAAAUCAGAAAAACAGUUAAGUUUAGAAAUGUAGCAGGAUAUACCACGAAAAACUGCUAAAAUUACUGGGGCAGAAUUCUGGAAUUCUGGCUUUGCCAUGAGCUCAUUACUAAGAAAACCAUGCUGCUCUGCUGCCCUGGAGCAGCCAGGGAAAGUAAUCUGAGAAAACAGUGACUUGCUGAAUGAGGUCACUACACUGAGCUACACCAAGCGUACAGUACCUCAGCACAGCAGUACAGGUAUAUGUAAGAUGUACCUGAUAUGUGAUAUCACAUUGCUCCUUGCCCCUUCCCGCUGGUGUGCACUGGGAGAAGACCAUGGAAACAGCAAGGGACAAUGCCGAGUCAUCUGCUGACCUGCUGUUUAUUAGAGGAGCAGUCUCAAUACCUGCCAGGCUUGCCUGUGUGAUACUUGGUAUUGCAAACGUAACUAAGAUUUUCCUGCUGCUGCAGACCCCCUGGUCAUUAUAACAUGCUGGAAGCUCCAGGUAACGUUAUUCAUUUCAUUCAUCUGAAUAAACAGAAGCUAGAAGUAGAUGAAGUGCUUAUUGUGCUUUAGAAAUAGCAAGAUAAACGCUUACACUACCCUUCCAAACAUUUACAGUAAACUGAUGUCCUUAAUUGGGUAUCAAAGUAGCAUAAGUGUUUAAAUCAUUUGAAGUCUAAUUAAUGAUAAAAUCAUUGUUCUGUGCAUUUCUUUUGCUAUGGAUCACGUAACAUCCAGAUUUGAACUCCAACUUUUAGGAAGCCAUUAAUAAAAUGAGUCUCAUUAAUGUCAAACUGCUUGAUUAAGGAUCUGAUUAAAAACCAUUUGACAUUAAUGAGACUCAUUUUAUUAAGAGCUUUUAAAAUCAGACACAUUCACAGAUGGAGGCUGAGUUAAGGAAGUCUGUAUCUGUGUGCAAUGUAUUUGUCUAUGAAUCCAUCUGUAUCUGUGUGCAAUGUAUUUGUCUAUGAAUCCAUUGCUGGUUGGUCUACAUAGCUCACAGAGGAAUGAGACACUAAAGACAGCUUACAGCUGACCUUUAAACUUCAUUGAUUGCACUGCAAACCUCAUUAAUGUUUUUAUUUGUCUUAUAUUAGUUACCUUAUGUUAUACUGGUUGCAAAUUCUCUCCAAGGUAAUAUGCAGGUCCUGAAAUUGUGAAGAUAUAAAAAUAUCUAUGUUAUGCAUUUCUCGCUACAGUCUCCUAAGGAGAAUGAGCAGUGAAAUUUGAACCUUCUUGGAUCUGUUUCUUCCAGCAAGACAACAGAAAAGGGCUGUACUCUGCUGGAAUUUUGACAAUGUGAGUGCAGUGGUUCAUUGUCAGACCUUCAUAAUUAGAAUAGUCUUGUCACAUUUGGAUGUGAAUGUAUCCCUCUCUGUGACCAAGGGAAAAAGACUUUAUAGCAUGUUUGCAAAUGUAAGAAAUAUAUAUUUUAACACAAAAAUAAAUAAUAGGUAAUACACUCUGUUUGACCUCAUAUAUAUCUUCACCUUUUCAAAGUUUUGCUCUUAUUAUGGAAAACGGUUGUUUAAAAUAUUUUGGAAACAUCUGUAAAAUGUUUGCUGCUAAUUGAGCUCUCACAUGAAACCAAGUGGUCCCCAGGGAAGAGAAGAUAUCUGUGUCAUGAUGCUUGCUUCAAGAAUAUAUUUAGUUUGUUUUGAGCUUGGCUGGAAUUAAAAG
ensembl:lncRNA